rnacentral:lncRNA from 1 species
GACUGACAUAUUUUAUAUCUCUAAGAUAUGAUUUUGUACUUAUUAGACAGUUAUAUUAUCAUUCAUAUCUAUAUAUCUAUAAAUCAUCCAAGGGAUUAACAAGAUGAUGAUACAUAUUCUCAAAGAGAUGAGAAUUUGAGGCAUAUAUCAUUGAUGGUUGAUUCCUAAAUUGCUCCUGAUCAUAGGAUCAUCAUGGGGAUGGUGAUUGAUCUGGAUAGAUUAGUGUAAGAAUCACUUCCUUCGGACAGAUGGGUCUCGAGUCUGCAGUGUAGAGAUACUGGAGCAAGAGUAUAGGUGGUUGUUAGAGAACAACAAUCACUGAGCAUGACCAACAUGAGAAGUCACAUGGAUGUCUGCUCAUUCGUUAGUGACUUUUUUGAUGUUAUAGUUGUAUGACUGAUAUUUUGAUCUGAGAUGACACUAUUGCUCGCAAUGAGGCUGCUGGAGUUUGACUGACACAUCAACAUGGGUCUCAAGGAGCCCUUGUAGUGGAUGUUGGCAACAGUUAGUCUACUGUAGGAGUGGGGUGUGCAUCAAGAUAGGAUCUAUCGAUCCUAGCAGAAGGAAGUAGUCUUAUGGGAUUCAAUAGGCUAAGUCCUUAAGUCUAUAGCCAUAGCAGUAUGAUUGAUGAAAAAGAGUUUUCAUAGAAUUACAUAUGGACUUAAGCUGAUUGAAUUUAUUAUAUGACUGAUGUUGAGGUU